GCCAGGCAUGAUGGCGCACGCCUGUAAUCCCAGAAGCUUGGGAGGCUGAGACAGGAGAAACACAGUUCAAAGCCAGCCUCAGCAACUGCGAGACUCUAAGCAACUCAGUGAGACCCUGUCUCUA
rnacentral:sRNA from 1 species